ACCGGAGGAAGGUGGGGAUGACGUCAAAUCAUCAUGCCCCUUAUGAUUUGGGCUACACACGUGCUACAAUGGACAAUACAAAGGGUAGCGAAACCGCGAGGUCAAGCAAAUCCCAUAAAGUUGUUCUCAGUUCGGAUUGUAGUCUGCAACUCGACUAUAUGAAGCUGGAAUCGCUAGUAAUCGUAGAUCAGCAUGCUACGGUGAAUACGUUCCCGGGUCUUGUACACACCGCCCGUCACACCACGAGAGUUUGUAACACCCGAAGCCGGUGGAGUAACCAUUUGGAGCUAGCCGUCGAAGGUGGGACAAAUGAUUGGGGUGAAGUCGUAACAAGGUAGCCGUAUCGGAAGGUGCGGCUGGAUCACCUCCUUUCUAAGGA
rnacentral:rRNA from 1 species